rnacentral:rRNA from 1 species
UACGUAGGGCGCAAGCGUUUGUCCGGAAUUAUUGGGCGUAAAGAGCUCGUAGGCGGUUUGUCGCGUCUGCUGUGAAAACUCGAGGCUCAACCUCGGGCUUGCAGUGGGUACGGGGCAGACUAGAGUGCGGUAGGGGGUGACUGGAAUUCCUGGUGUAGCGGUGGAAUGCGCAGAUAUCAGGAGGAACACCGAUGGCGAAGGCAGGUCACUGGGCCGCAACUGA